UUUUGUGAUGGAGUUUCGCUCUGUUGCCGAGGCUGGAGUGCAGUGGCACAAUCUCGGCUGGGUGACAGUGAGACUCUGUUUCAAAAAAAAACAAACACACACACACACACACACACACACACACACACACACACACACACACACAAAUACUUCACUGUUAAUACAAAUAAUCUAGUCAAGUAAACCAUACUCCAUUUUGGAUAAAAACAGAGAAGAACUCCUCCAUGUGGUUGUUGAAGGGUCUUUAAAGGAAUCAAAUAUUCUCACAUUUUUCUCUUUAAAAGCACUUUUAACAAAUCUUCAAAUCAAUAAAAUAUACAAUGGCUUAACUGGGCAAGAUCUAAUGCCCGAAGAUCUCGUGAGGCACUCAACUAGGGCUUCCCAGACAGUGAGAAGCACAGAGCCUGGAAGGGCUCACAGGUAAGCUAAGCUACGGUUGGAAGGUGGAGGCAGGAAGUUCAGACAGCUGGCUCCACGAACCUCCACCCCAUUACCUCGUGCACUGUAAACUUUUCUGCUGUUUUUUACCUGUGCCA
rnacentral:lncRNA from 1 species